UUUGCGGCGGCCAUGGCCCAGGUGAGACGCCCGGCUCCAUUCCGAACCCGGAAGCUAAGGCCUGGCACGGCGAUGGUACUGCACUCGAUAGGGUGUGGGAGAGUAGCGCGCCGCCGCAU
rnacentral:rRNA from 1 species